UACGGAGGGUGCAAGCGUUAAUCGGAAUUACUGGGCGUAAAGCGCACGCAGGCGGUUUGUUAAGUCAGAUGUGAAAUCCCCGGGCUCAGCCUGGGAAUUGCAUCUGAUACUGGCAAGCUUGAAUCUCGUAGAGGGAGAUGGAAUUCCAGGUGUAGCGGUGAAAUGCGUAGAGAUGUGGAGGAAUACCGGUGGCGAAGGCGGCCCCCUGGACGAAGACUGACGCUCAGGUUCGAAAGCGUGGGUAGCAAACAGG
rnacentral:rRNA from 1 species